UUCGUCUUCGUCGUUUCUUCUUCUCUAACCGAUCGACGAACAAUCCAAUCUCUUCUCCACGUUUUCAUGCAAUCAAUCCUCCGUUUCUUACAUUUAUGGCCUCCUUUAACCUUCCUCCCUCUGGAUGUGUAUAUAAAUCUAUACUUCCGUGUUUGAUCUCCGUUAAAAUUGGUGAUUUUCUCUCUAAAACCUAUUGCGAUGAAUCCUGACGGCAAAUCCAACGUUUCCGGCGAUUCUAUUCCGACGAAAGAAAACGGCAAAGCCUCUGUCUCCUCACCCGUUCAGAUCAAUCGUCUCGGAGAUUCCGGAGGAGACUCCAUCGUGUCGACCAAAGUUACCGGUCAAACCGGUGUCUCCUCAACUGGUGUCUCUUCCGCUCCUCGGGUUAAGCCAAACGUCAAGACGGUUUCCCCUCCGCCAAAGGUGACGACGUCAGCUCCGGUGGAUCCUCUGCAAAUCCGAUAGAAGCAAAUCCAAAGACCUGUGUCUCAUCCGCCAUUCAAGAUUUUGUAUGUGCCAAAGAAAUGGAAGCCUCCUCGACAAUGUGUUGUUUCAAGUUUCCGAACACCGCGACGCCUAUGGCGGUGAUAGCGCUCUUGAUUCUGGAAACAGACGGCUAUCAUGCAAGCUUGCCAAAAUCACUGGGAAGUCAUUUUGAUUCCCACUUUUUUGUGCUAAUGUAAGCAUUUGAUAAACUCUUAUUCUCACAGAUUGACACAGUGAUUGUAUUUGAUUAUUUGGGUCGAUAGAUUCACAGAUCAGAUAACCUAAGCAGCUCUGCAUCUCGCUGCUCGAAAUAUUUUGAUAGUGUUUCGAAAGAGUUAAUGAUUAUGGCUUCAGUAGACAUGAUUAGCUGAAGAUGUCUUUCAACCAUGAAGUGAUAAACAGAGCAUUAGAUGGAGAAACAGACACAAAGAGACAGUGCAGUUGCUCUUGAAUUUGGGAGCUUCAGUUGCUCAAGUCACUGUGGAAGAUGGAACCACAAUAUAUCUUAAAGUUGUUCACGACGCCAAAAACACAAUCUCGAGAAACACAGAGGAUAAGGCAGGGCAAGAGGCUGGGUAUUGAUAUCGACGGGAUCUGAUCCUGUAGAAGCUGUCGUAGAGAGACCACACAGACGAUGGAUGCUGCUACCACCCUUGACUUGAAAUAGCGUGAGAAGUUUUGAUCCAUGUUUUGCAUUCUGCUUCAGACAGCUUCUAGAUAUGAACAUUGUGUAUGGAACAGAGUACUUCACAUGUCUCUGGUUUCCUGAAGAUGGUGAACCCAAAGGUGAAUACACAGCGAGAAUCUCCACUCCCGGUGCUGUUACAUCCAGCUGCAUUUCAAUCAACCUUUUGUCUCUCACAUCCAUAUUUGUAAAUAAAAAUCGAACAAAGAUAAAACAUAAAACAGUAUGACAGUCACCUUAAGAAGGUCAACAGCGAUGGGGUUUGGACCACGAGAAGAGAAGGAAGCAACUUUAGGAGCUUUCUGAUUAAAGACCUCAGUUUUUAGAACAGUGCCUUGCGCGAACCUCAAGAUAACAAACGUAGAUAUAUCAGCAGGACAAAAAAAAAUUUCUGAGCAGAUGUUAAAUGCAUGAAACAAAGAGAGUUGUUACUUUGUGGAGUUAACGUAAGAAACAAGAAACUCAAAUUCAUUUGGUGACAGAGCAGAGAGGGGAAAAGGGCAAAUGGUGGCAUAGUUUUUGUAGUCUUUAAUUAUGGUUGCAACAGCUUCAACUGAACUGAGUAUCCGCUCACCAAUAUUUGGCUCUAGACCGAGACAUUCUCCAAAUAUAUAUGGAGUUUUUGUUUUUAUUUUUGGUUUUUUAUGUAUGAAACAACUUUAUACGUAUAUUUUCAUCAACAAUUUUUUAAUAUGUAUACUAAAUUUUGACCUACGCUUCAAAAUGCAGAUUUAUUUUUACAACUACAAAAUAUUUUUCAUAUGAAUUUAUAUAUAAGAUAUUGUAUAGAUGUAGACACAUUUAUUAGAAACCAAAUAAACAAAACUAAAACUGAACCGAAUUCAUAAAUAACCAAACAUAUUAUAUAUCUCUAGAACCA